GCGUGGGCCUCUAAAGGGGGGCCAAGGAGACCAAGGGUGCUAGCGCGCUAGCCCCUACCACCUGACGGAUGCUGACCACCAGCCUACUCGGAGCCCAUGGCGUCAUAGGAGCCAGCCCCUGGACUAAAGCAGAACCACAGGACAGUGGGCUGUAGAGGCCCGCCGCCAUGAGAGCUGCCGCCGCUAGGGGGCGCCUGGAAACUGUAAACACAAGCUGCACUAGCGAGAGGUGCACUUCAUCUCCAUACAGCCAGUCUAGUAUUUG
rnacentral:lncRNA from 1 species